UCAGUCUGCGUGAGAUAAGUCGCGUGGACAAAAGGGAAAGAGCCCAGACCGACAGCUAAGGUCCCAAAGUACGUGUUAAGUGGAAAAGGAUGUGGGAUUUCAUAGACAACUAGGAUGUUGGCUUAGAAGCAGCCAUACAUUUAAAGAGUGCGUAAUAGCUCACUAGUCGAGAAAACCUGCGCCGAAAAUGUAACGGGGCUAAAACACGACACCGAAGCUACGGAUUCCUUACUAAGUAAGGAGUGGUAGAGGAGCAUCCUGCAAGGACGAAGCCAAAGUGAGAGCGAUGGUGGACGAAACAGGAGAGAGAAUGCCGGAAUGAGUAGCGAGAUACAUGUGAGAAACAUGUAGGCCGAAUAUCUAAGGAUUCCUGGGUAAAGCUAAUCUUCCCAGGGUUAGUCGGGGCCUAAGGCGAGGACGAGAGUCGUAGUCGAUGGAUAACAGGUUGAUAUUCCUGUACUACACAUAAUCAGAACUGUGGGGACGCAGGAGGAUAGGGAAACCGGGGAAUGGAAAGACCCGGUCAAGCGCAAAGCUGUGGGAGAUAGGCAAAUCCGUCUCUUGUAAGUGAAGCGUGAUGAGGACUGAAAAAAAGUAAGGAAGUUUCCGAAUCCACACUGCCGAGAAAAGCCGCUAUUGCGUUAUGUGUACCCGUACCGUAAACCGACACAGGUAGAUGAGGAGAAAAUCCACAGGCCGACGGGAGAAGUGUUGUUAAGGAACUCGGCAAAAUGACCCCGUAACUUCGGGAUAAGGGGAGCCUCGCAAGAGGCCGCAGAAAAGAGGCACAAGCAACUGUUUAGCAAAAACAUAGGUCUAUGCGAAACCGUAAGGUGAAGUAUAUGGGCUGACGCCUGCCCGGUGCUGGAAGGUUAAAAGGAGAGGUCAGCGCAAGCGAAGCUUUGAAUUCAAGCCCCAGUAAACGGCGGCCGUAACUAUAACGGUCCUAAGGUAGCGAAAUUCCUUGUCAGGUAAGUUCUGACCCGCACGAAAGGCGUAAUGAUUUGUGCACUGUCUCGACAACACGCCCGGUGAAAUUGAAGAACCAGUGAAGAUACUGGUUACCCGCAACAGGACGGAAAGACCCCAUGGAGCUUUACUGCAGCCUGAUACUGGGAUUCGAUGAUAUAUGUACAGGAUAGGUGGGAGGCUAAGAAGCGAGAACGCUAGUUUUCGUGGAGCCGCCGGUGGGAUACCACUCUUAUGUCAUUGGAUUUCUAACCUGCAUCCGUAAUCCGGGUGAGGGACAAUGUCAGGCGGGCAGUUUGACUGGGGCGGUCGCCUCCUAAAAGGUAACGGAGGCGCUCGAAGGUCACCUCAGAAUGAUUGGAAACCAUUCAAAGAGUGUAAAGGCAAAAGGUGGCUUGACUGCGAGAGCGACGGCUCGAGCAGGUACGAAAGUAGGACUUAGUGAUCCGGUGGUAAUAAGUGGGAAUGCCAUCGCUCAACGGAUAAAAGCUACCCUGGGGAUAACAGGCUUAUCUCCCCCAAGAGUUCACAUCGACGGGGAGGUUUGGCACCUCGAUGUCGGCUCAUCGCAUCCUGGGGCUGAAGUAGGUCCCAAGGGUUGGGCUGUUCGCCCAUUAAAGCGGUACGCGAGCUGGGUUCAGAACGUCGUGAGACAGUUCGGUCCCUAUCCGUUGUGGGCGCAGGAAAUUUGAGAGGAGCUGUCCUUAGUACGAGAGGACCGGGAUGGACGUACCUCUGGUGUACCGGUUGCAGACCAACUGCACAGCCGGGUAGCUAUGUAUGGAACGGAUAAACGCUGAAGGCAUCUAAGCGUGAAGCCGCCCUCAAGAUAAGAUUUCCCAUUCU
rnacentral:rRNA from 1 species